rnacentral:rRNA from 1 species
AACGUAGGAGACAAACGUUAUCCGGAGUUACUGGGCGUAAAGGGCGUGUAGGUGGUUUCGUAAGUCUGGCGUGAAAUUUUUCGGCUUAACCGGGAAAGGUCGUCGGAUACUGCGGAACUAGAGGACGGUAGAGGCGUGUGGAAUUCCGGGUGUAGUGGUGAAAUGCGUAGAGAUCCGGAGGAACACCAGUGGCGAAGGCGACACGCUGGGCCGUACCUGACACUGAGGCGCGAUAGCAUGGGGAGCAAAC